rnacentral:rRNA from 1 species
GACGGAGGAUGCAAGUGUUAUCCGGAAUCACUGGGCGUAAAGCGUCUGUAGGUGGUUUAAUAAGUCAACUGUUAAAUCUUGAGGCUCAACCUCAAAAUCGCAGUCGAAACUAUUAGGCUAGAGUAUAGUAGGGGUAAAGGGAAUUUCCAGUGGAGCGGUGAAAUGCGUAGAGAUUGGGAAGAACACCGGUGGCGAAAGCGCUCUACUGGGCCUGCACUGACACUGAGGGACGAAAGCUAGGGGAGCGAAAGGG